UAUGAGACUAACAUGUGACCGCGAGCGGCGUCUAUAAAACCCACUACCUCGUCCUGGUUAUCAUCACAGGUUCUCUCUCCGUCGUCCAAAACACGGAAGGACAAAGUUCCAGUGUAAUAGGCUCAGCAAGUUUUGAUUUUCUCUCUGUCAAAAUAUCCGUCUCAGGAGUGGCUAAGAAGACAGCUUCCUGUCGGGAAUCCUUUGAUAAGAUGGAUCGGAUGCUACAAGACUUUCAUGCGGCAGAUGGCACAUUAAUGCACAGUAGCGGAUGGCCUCCGCAGGACCAAAUUCUGGAGCCCAUCACCAAAUGCUCCAGGCACUUGGGGAGGACUGCUCCGAGUUACCGAAUGAAGAAAGGUGGGCGCCACUUCGAUCUAGCUCGAGCGUUCUCCCACAAGGGCAGACACGCCAUCCUCUGCUCUUCUUUGGCAGGCUUAUCAAGCAGCCAGCCGAAGGAUCUCAAGAAUGACGCAUUCAGUAGCUGGUACAGCCGCAGCACCAGCGAUCCUUGGCGAAACGGACGCAUCAGGUUCCGUUGUCACGGAAACUAAACUCCCGAUCCGCAGAGAGAAACUCAAGAUGCGACCUUGAGUAGCAGGUCAGUGGAAGAAGCUGACCAUGUCAUCUGAACCUGCUUGAACAGUUUCCCCAAAGGUCGCAAAUAAGCAUCACAGGUCCUGGUAUAACGGACGAACACAUCGGACCCGACUGGAAUAUCCAAGAUGUGAACUUGGAUAAGUGGCCCUUGCAAAACGGCCGAUUACACUUGGACCCGCAAAUAGUGUGCCCAGGUCUUCUUUCAACUUCUGACCUCCAACCCUCUGCCCGAUGACUGAACAACCUCUGACUGUACCCAGUCUGGGUUGAGCUGAAGACUUCACCAGGCUUUUCAUAAGUGCCAUGAUGCGACUUUGGCUGAGGAGUCUGGCCGGCCGGAAGCAAAGCCUGGAUCUUGGAAUAGGAGGAGGGGUUCAAGGUCCUAAACAACAGCAGAAGGGGUUCAAUCAAGGCACACGCGGUGUCCCAGUCUAUUGGAUGAUCACUCUUGAAACCCUAUGGAAGAAGAGGACGGUUUCCAUCAGGAAAGGUCGUCACUGAAGUUGAUCCCACCUGGAAAAAGUGAUUUCAGUGUGGAAAGUCUCCAGCAGAAACAACUGAGGUUAACCACAGCAAAGAGUUAAAAGCACCAAGAAAGGAGUUAGUCUUAACUCACAGCACUGCAGAAAGGUAUCUUCAAAAUGCCAGUCUGCUGCUAACAGAACUCGCGUGGGACAAAAUUCAGACUUAUGCUUAGGAAAGGAGCCUUUACUGGAAAUUUCAACCAGUAAACAAAAUCUUACGUUAUUUGAGGUUGCAAAAUUAGCAUAUUGUUUUUUCAUAUCGGCAAAAACUGCAAGAGCUCCUCAGACACAGUGUGAUCUCAUAUGUUCAAUUCUCAUGGGCUGUUAGAAGAGAAAGUGUGAAUAAAAUCAGUAUACAGCAA